rnacentral:rRNA from 1 species
UACGGAGGGUGCAAGCGUUAUCCGGAUUCACUGGGUUUAAAGGGUGCGUAGGCGGGCAGGUAAGUCAGUGGUGAAAUCUCCGAGCUUAACUCGGAAACUGCCAUUGAUACUAUUUGUCUUGAAUAUUGUGGAGGUAAGCGGAAUAUGUCAUGUAGCGGUGAAAUGCCUAGAUAUGACAUAGAACACCAAUUGCGAAGGCAGCUUACUACACAAUGAUUGACGCUGAGGCACGAAAGCGUGGGGAUCAAACAGG